CGAAGAACCUUACCUGGUCUUGACAUCCACGGAAGUUUUCAGAGAUGAGAAUGUGCCUUCGGGAACCGUGAGACAGGUGCUGCAUGGCUGUCGUCAGCUCGUGUUGUGAAAUGUUGGGUUAAGUCCCGCAACGAGCGCAACCCUUAUCCUUUGUUGCCAGCGGUCCGGCCGGGAACUCAAAGGAGACUGCCAGUGAUAAACUGGAGGAAGGUGGGGAUGACGUCAAGUCAUCAUGGCCCUUACGACCAGGGCUACACACGUGCUACAAUGGCGCAUACAAAGAGAAGCGACCUCGCGAGAGCAAGCGGACCUCAUAAAGUGCGUCGUAGUCCGGAUUGGAGUCUGCAACUCGACUCCAUGAAGUCGGAAUCGCUAGUAAUCGUGGAUCAGAAUGCCACGGUGAAUACGUUCCCGGGCCUUGUACACACCGCCCGUCACACCAUGGGAGUGGGUUGCAAAAGAAGUAGGUAGCUUAACCUUCGGGAGGGCGCUUACCACUUUGUGAUUCAUGACUGGGGUGAAGUCGUAACAAGGUAACCGUAGGGGAACCUGCGGUUGGAUCACCUCCUU
rnacentral:rRNA from 1 species